rnacentral:lncRNA from 1 species
AAAUAUGCUCACUUGAUCCUAACAGUUUUCUCUUUAAUCCCUGAAGCUUUGACCCUCCUGUGUGACAUGCUGCUGAUUUGCUAUAGAAUCUGAACUCUUGAAAACCUUAGAGAGAGAUAUUGGCCAAGCAGAAAAUGCUUCCAUGUUGCAGUUUCAGUGGACAGCGUGAUUCCAAAAAUGAAGUCAUCCUUCCAGCGCCUGGUCCUACUCUGUUCACUCAUCCUGCUCUUGUCUUCAAAGAAUGUGUUGUUCUUACAAAGAAGAUUUCAGCACAAAGACAAAAGUGAUCAAGGUAACCCAGCUAAAAGAAUGCACUUCGAUUUACAAUUCAAGACCAGACUCGAUCAUUUUUCCAGCACAGACCUUGAUGCCACUUUUUGGAAGCCUGCUGUGUGAACAUUUCAGAGCCCAGGAGACAGCUGUGAGCACGGAUCCACUGUCACCUAUGGAGUCACCUGCUGAGCUUUAUCCCAAAAUAAAACAUCCUACUAGGGAGCAUCAUCACCGAUGUGUAGGCAGCACUUGCCUGAUUGCUUUUCACUAUUUCUAGUGUUUUGUUAUCAUUUUCAUUUGGGAGAGUGCUUGGAGCAGUUCCGGUGGUACAGGAGGAGGCGCAGGAGCGAGACCAUCCCUCCAGAGUAAUCCCUGCUGCUUGCUGAAUAGAUACCUGAAGGCAACAUCACUUGGCUAUUUCUGGCCUGCAGUAGAUUGCUACUUGCAAACCUUUUUAUGCUGUUAUUCAUCUCCUGAGCCAUCUGGCCCCUGUUGCAGGAUACCUGCAGAUGGAUUAAUAGACCAAUCUAAUAGAGCUGUACAUAUUAAAUAUACAGCAGAAGCAGCUGUUGGGUGUUUGUUGUGAGCUUUCUAUUUUUCCCUGAUGUUUCAGCCACUGUAAUUUAAAGUUCUAAGUCAGUUCUUCAAGGAAAGGAACUGUUUUUACCUCAACUAUCCAAAAACCAAAAUAAAUUUAUCUCUCAUAAAAGAAGCCUGUCA